UACCGCGGUUACUGUUUCUAAUGCAAUCAAAAAUCUUUACGGUCGAGUCAGUGUUGGUGGUCGAUGACGGUUGUGUGACAUUAGUACUAUUUGACACCGUUUUACGCACCGCCGCAACGCGAGGGUAUGAAAUUAGGGGAAACUCAUGACAAAAUGAUGGCAAUGGCUGGGGUUGAAAAGGAGGAUUUUGAGUUAACUUAAAUGUUUAAGAAGCCAACUUGAAGUAUUAAAAGAAGACUCGUGAUUAUACUAAUAUUGAAGUAGUAAAUGGUCACAAUGAAGUAUACACUAUGAGGCUGUGUUGUGGAUUAGGCUUGGGGCAUGAAAGGAGUGCCACAUCAACGACAAGGGGUGGAGGUGGUAGAAGAUUUUUUUAUUCAAAUUAUUGAAUACCACAUUUAUAUUUUU
rnacentral:lncRNA from 1 species